GGGUGUAGCUCAGUGGCAGAGCACGUACCUAGUAUACAUGAGCCCUGGGUUUGAUCCCCAGUCACACA
rnacentral:tRNA from 1 species